CAGCGCCACGGUAAAACAGAGGGUGCGAGCGUUAAUCGGAUUUACUGGGCGUAAAGCGUGCGUAGGCGGCUUCUUAAGUCGGAUGUGAAAUCCCUGAGCUUAACUUAGGAAUUGCAUUCGAUACUGGGAAGCUAGAGUAUGGGAGAGGAUGGUAGAAUUCCAGGUGUAGCGGUGAAAUGCGUAGAGAUCUGGAGGAAUACCGAUGGCGAAGGCAGCCAUCUGGCCUAAUACUGACGCUGAGGUACGAAAGCAUGGGGAGCAAACAGGAUUAGAUACCCCUGUAGUCCCUGUCUCUUAUACA
rnacentral:rRNA from 1 species